CCAUCUCCUUCGUUCAUACGGUGUAUAAUCCCGUAUUGUUGAUAUUCCUUUUUAAAAAUCCACUUUUCACAACAAUUCAGUAGCAUCCUGCCUGUAUUGCCACAAUUUUUUUAGAUGGUUUCAGCCACCGUAUUAUAAUACCCAUCCCAUCUAGUUUUACGCACAGCUUUCAGGGAUCCCACGUGAUGUGUCCUGAUUGUGCGGCUUUUGUUAAGUUCUAACUGAAGACAAUAUUCAUAUAUGCUUGAAAAAAAUGAAGUCUAGUGCUAUGGGGCGGUUGACAUGCGGGACGACGACGUGGCGUUCCGCCAUGGUCUCGUUAUGGUUUUAAUUCCGGAUAAUGGCUUCCUUAUUGAUUUUGAUUACCCUGGUCACGACUUACGAGGCCGAAUAAGCUAAAGUGUUCCGAAGGAUGGCCAAGAGGUCGGCGUCCCGUCAGAUGCAGAACCGGUUUUUACGUCGAGAUCGUUGCGGUCCGCUGAUGUCGCAGCUCGAAAGCUCGAUUAUGCUGUAUUAGUAACGUUUUGCCAGUGGACUAAUCGGCAGAAUGUUUUUUUCCUGGCAUUACGCGUUCGGUUUAAGUGCCGCCUAGUGUGCAGAUCCUGGCUCAGCGUACUAACAUUCGCCCCAGCGUCUACCUGAGCGCAAACCGAUUCGCUGUGGAACUAUACCGACACAAGCUAUCCCGCGCACUGGACCGGAACCUCACCGCGACAACUACAAACUGAUUCCCUUCAGUACAACGUAGGACGACCAGGGAUCCCAUCCCCACGCUGAUUGGUCUGCUGAAAGUGAGAGUAAUUCGUCUACAAACCAUCUGUAUCGGCCAUUUGAUGUGUGGACUCAAGAUGUGCUGGCGUUUUCGUCCGCGCUUACCCUAAGCUUUCGUUCGAAAAGGCGCAAAGUCUGUGAUCGGUUAGUGCUACGAGUAGACGAUGUGCGCGUAUACCGGCCAGUCUAUCUGGAUGUCGAAGCGUGUCGUUGUUCGCGGACGUACCAUGGCUCCUAUGACUUGCGCUUCAGAUAAACAUCGUGAGAUGGACGGUACACAGUAAAUUUUCCUGUGUACCGUCGAAGAAAUGCGAUCAGCAUUACAGGUGUUGGAAGCGGCAUGUCAACCGAUGGCCGAUGAAGACUGUCGAGCGUUGCAGACCGUUCUGGGGGCACAUGAUUGUUUCACCGCAGCAUGCAUACCACGUUACAGGAGCUUAAGGGAUUUGGCCUGGUACAUAGUACCGAAUUCGGGUACAUACACGGGAACUUUCACUGUCGCCCACUCCUAAACACCUUUUUUGCAUUGCUUUAUGACAUUUGGUAGCCGAAGGAUUGGGAUAGGCGAAAAAAAAAUCGUUUGUGCGCGCAACAUCCGGUUCGAGAGUUAUUAGUGAAAUAAAAUUUCAAAAGUUUAAACGCGCGGAGGUCAACGCCGUCAAGAGAACGCUGGCAUCUAGCAAGCCUAUACUGUACUCCGAACGAUUCGACAUUUAGUUAUUUUAUUAAGCGCAAUAAUAAAUGGUAUCUCGAAUGUACCUCCAUA